rnacentral:rRNA from 1 species
GACGAACGCUGGCGGCGUGCCUAAUACAUGCAAGUAGAACGCUGAAGCUUGGUGCUUGCACCGAGCGGAUGAGUUGCGAACGGGUGAGUAACGCGUAGGUAACCUGCCUGGUAGCGGGGGAUAACUAUUGGAAACGAUAGCUAAUACCGCAUAAUAGUAGAUGUUGCAUGACAUUUGCUUAAAUGGUGCAAUUGCAUCACUACCAGAUGGACCUGCGUUGUAUUAGCUAGUUGGUGAGGUAACGGCUCACCAAGGCAACGAUACAUAGCCGACCUGAGAGGGUGAUCGGCCACACUGGGACUGAGACACGGCCCAGGCUCCUACGGGAGGCAGCAGUAGGGAAACUUCGGCAAUGGACGGAAGUCUGACCGAGCAACGCCGCGUGAGGGGAGAAGGGUUUCGGAUCGUAAAGCUCUGUUGUAAGAGAAGAACGAGUGGGAGAGUGGAAAGUUCACACUGUGACGGUAUCUUACCAGAAAGGGACGGCUAACUACGUG